AUUGAACGCUGGCGGCAGGCCUAACACAUGCAAGUAGAACGAGUGGCGGACGGGUAAGUAAUGUCAGGGAAACUGCACGAUGGCGGGGGAUAAGUACUGGCAACGGUAGAUAAUACCGCAUACCGUCAGUUCUUCCCAGAUGGGAUUAGCUGGUAGGUGGGGUAACGGCUCACUUGGGCGACGAUCCCUAGCUGGUCUGAGAGGGUGACCGGCCACAUGGGAACUGGGACACGGUCCAGAUCCCUACGGGAGGCAGCAGUGGGGAAUAUUGGACAAUGGGCGCAAGCCGGAUGCAGACAGGCGGCGUGUAUGAAGAAGGCCUUCGGGUUUAAAAGUACGUUCAGCGAGGAGGCGUUACUUGCAGAAGAAGCACCGGCUAACUCCGUGCCAGCAGCCGCGGUAAUUC
rnacentral:rRNA from 1 species